UACGGGUGACAUCGGAGUCUUUGAACGCAAGUUGCGCCCGAUGCCAUUAGGUUGAGGGCACGUCUGCCUGGGUGUCACAUAUCGAAGCCUCCUUGACUAUUGUGCAGGGUGGAUGUUGGCCUCCCGUGAGCUGUUUCGUCUCAUGGUUGGUUGAAAAUUGAGACCUUGGUAGGGUGUGCCAUGAUAGAUGGUGGUUGUGUGACCCACGAGACCAAUCAUGCGCUUCUUCUCUAUUGAAUUCGGCCUCUUUUACCCAUAUGCGUUUCUAAACGCUCGUGAUGAGACCUCAGGUCAGGCGGGACUACCCGCUGAAUUUAAGCAUAUCAAUAAGCGGAGGAAAAGAAACUAACAAGGAUUCCCUUAGUAACGGCGAGCGAACCGGGAUAAGCCCACCAUGAGAAUCGGUCGCCCUCGGCGUUCGAAUUGUAGUUGAAAAAAAACCGUCAAACCUU
rnacentral:rRNA from 1 species